CUGGCGGCACGCCUAACACAUGCAAGUCGAACGAAGGCUUCGGCCUUAGUGGCGCACGGGUGCGUAACGCGUGGGAAUCUGCCCUCAGGUUCGGAAUAACAGCGAGAAAUUGCUGCUAAUACCGGAUGAUAUCGCGAGAUCAAAGAUUUAUCGCCUGAGGAUGAGCCCGCGUAGGAUUAGCUAGUUGGUGUGGUAAAGGCGCACCAAGGCGACGAUCCUUAGCUGGUCUGAGAGGAUGAUCAGCCACACUGGGACUGAGACACGGCCCAGACUCCUACGGGAGGCAGCAGUGGGGAAUAUUGGACAAUGGGCGAAAGCCUGAUCCAGCAAUGCCGCGUGAGUGAUGAAGGCCUUAGGGUUGUAAAGCUCUUUUACCCGGGAU
rnacentral:rRNA from 1 species